GAUGAACGCUAGCGGCGGGCUUAAUACAUGCAAGUCGAGGGGCAGCAUGAAUCUUCGGAUUCGAUGGCGACCGGCGGACGGGUGCGUAACGCGUAGGCAAUCUACCCAUAAAUGAAGGAUAGCCCAGAGAAAUUUGGAUUAACACUUCGUAGUAUACUAUGAUCGCAUGAUCUAAGUAUUAGUUAUGGAUGAGCCUGCGUCUGAUUAGGUAGUUGGUGAGGUAAUAGCUCACCAAGCCUUUGAUCAGUAGGGGUUCUGAGAGGAUGAUCCCCCACACUGGAACUGAGACACGGUCCAGACUCCUACGGGAGGCAGCAGUAAGGAAUCUUGGUCAAUGGACGGAAGUCUGAACCAGCCACGCCGCGUGCUAGAAGAAGGUCCUCAGGAUUGUAAAUAGCUUUUCUACAGGAAGAAUGGCUCCCAUGCGUGGGAGAGGAGACGGUACUGUAGGAAUAAGGACCGGCUAACUACG
rnacentral:rRNA from 1 species